CGGCGAUUCCGCCGAAUCCACACACGUUCCGUCACCGCUCCGGGGUGCUUCGCAAGAAGUCGGUCGCGGGGGAACGUGGAGGCCAUAAC
rnacentral:sRNA from 1 species